rnacentral:rRNA from 1 species
AAUGAACGCUGGCGGCGUGCCUAAUACAUGCAAGUCGAGCGAACGGACGAGAAGCUUGCUUUUCUGAUGUUAGCGGCGGACGGGUGAGUAACACGUGGAUAACCUACCUAUAAGACUGGGAUAACUUCGGGAAACCGGAGCUAAUACCGGAUAAUAUUUUGAACCGCAUGGUUCAAAAGUGAAAGACGGUCUUGCUGUCACUUAUAGAUGGAUCCGCGCUGCAUUAGCUAGUUGGUAAGGUAACGGCUUACCAAGGCAACGAUGCAUAGCCGACCUGAGAGGGUGAUCGGCCACACUGGAACUGAGACACGGUCCAGACUCCUACGGGAGGCAGCAGUAGGGAAUCUGCCGCAAUGGGCGAAAGCCUGACGGAGCAACGCCGCGUGAGUGAUGAAGGUCUUCGGAUCGUAAAACUCUGUUAUUAGGGAAGAACAUAUGUGUAAGUAACUGUGCACAUCUUGACGGUACCUAAUCAGAAAGCCACGGCUAACUACGUG